rnacentral:rRNA from 1 species
GAUGAACGCUGACAGAAUGCUUAACACAUGCAAGUCGAUGGGGAAGUGGUGCUUGCACCCUGGCAACCAUGGCGGACGGGUGAGUAACGCGUAAGGGACUUACCUGCAGGACUGGGAUAACAGGGGGAAACUCCUGACAAGACCGGAUAAUGUCAUGGAGCUGCAUGGCUUUAUGAUGAAAGGAGACGCCUGCGGAGAGCCUUGCGUCCUAUUAGCUAGUUGGUGAGGUAAUGGCUCACCAAGGCGAAGAUAGGUAGCCGGCCUGAGAGGGUGGACGGCCACAAGGGGACUGAGAUACGGCCCUUACUCCUACGGGAGGCAGCAGUGGGGAAUAUUGGACAAUGGGGGCAACCCUGAUCCAGCAAUUCUGUGUGCACGAAGAAGGUUUUCGGAGUGUAAAGUGCUUUCAGCAGGGAAGAAGUAAGUGACGGUACCUGCAGAAGAAGCGACGGCUAAAUACGUG